AGAUGGCGACCGGCGCACGGGUGAGUAACACGUAUCCAACCUGCCGAUAACUCCGGAAUAGCCUUUCGAAAGAAAGAUUAAUACCGGAUGGCAUACGAAUAUCGCAUGAUAUUUUUAUUAAAGAAUUUCGGUUAUCGAUGGGGAUGCGUUCCAUUAGUUUGUUGGCGGGGUAACGGCCCACCAAGACUACGAUGGAUAGGGGCUCUGAGAGGAAGGUCCCCCACAUUGGAACUGAGACACGGUCCAA
rnacentral:rRNA from 1 species